rnacentral:rRNA from 1 species
UGGGGAAUAUUGCACAAUGGGGGAAACCCUGAUGCAGCGACGCCGCGUGAACGAAGAAGGUAUUCGUAUCGUAAAGUUCUGUCCUAUGGGAAGAUAAUGACAGUACCAUAGAAGAAAGCUCCGGCUAAAUACGUGCCAGCAGCCGCGGUAAUACGUAUGGAGCGAGCGUUGUCCGGAAUCAUUGGGCGUAAAGGGUACGCAGGCGGUUUAAUAAGUCGAAUGUUAAAGAUCGGGGCUCAACCCCGCAAAGCAUUGGAAACUGAUAAACUGGAGUAGUGGAGAGGAAAGUGGAAUUCCUAGUGUAGUGGUGAAAUACGUAGAUAUUAGGAGGAAUACCAGUAGCGAAGGCGACUUUCUGGACACAAACUGACGCUGAGGUACGAAAGCGUGGGGAGCAAACAGG